AGUGAACGCUGGCGGUAGGCCUAACACAUGCAAGUCGAACGGCAGCACAGUAAGAGCUUGCUCUUACGGGUGGCGAGUGGCGGAAGGGUGAGUAAUACAUCGGAAUCUACUUUUUCGUGGGGGAUAACGUAGGGAAACUUACGCUAAUACCGCAUACGACCUACGGGUGAAAGCAGGGGAUCUUCGGACCUUUCGCGAUUGAAUGAGCCUAUGUCGGAUUAGCUAGUUGGCGGGGUAAAGGCCCACCAAGGCAACGAUCCGUAGCUGGUCUGAGAGGAUGAUCAGCCACACUGGAACUGAGACACGGUCCAGACUCCUACGGGAGGAAGCAGUGGGGAAUAUUGGACAAUGGGCGCAAGCCUGAUCCAGCCAUACCGCGUGGGUGAAGAAGGCCUUCGGGUUGUAAAGCCCUUUUGUUGGGAAAGAAAAGCAGCAGGUUAAUACCCCGCUGUUCUGACGGUACCCAAAGAAUAAGCACCGGCUAACUUCGUG
rnacentral:rRNA from 1 species